rnacentral:rRNA from 1 species
GGCCAGUGGAUGCCCUCCUCCGUCACGGAAGAGGAUAUCAAGAAGUUGAGGGAGGCAAGAUACCUGACCGCCGAAGUUUCGCAUCGGCUGCCUGCCCAAGGGCAGGUCGUCCCUACUCCUGAACCCAAUGAAGACGUCGUGUUCAUCUCCCACUUCCUCCGAGGACUAGGCCUCACUCUGGAUCCCUUCGUUAGGGGUUUGAUGUUCUAUUACGGGCUUGAUUUCCACGAUCUAGCCCCGGAUUCCUUUCUCCACAUCUCGGCAUUUAUUGUCGUAUGUGAGGCCUUCCUCCGCAUUACCCCUCACUUCGGCCUGUGGCUCAAGACCUUUGAUGUGACGCCAAAGACGGUCGAGGGGCAGCAUGUAGCGUGUGGAGGUGCAUUAAUAAGCAAGAUCGCUGGAGCUCCAUGGCCAAAGGGUUCCUUUCCAGAGGUGUCCGGAUUAUGGCAACGGGAGUGGUUCUAUGUCACCGCUCCCAGAAGUGCCAAGUGGGUAGCUUCCCCCGCCUUUCGCUCGGGCCCUCCACCACAACUGAUGUCAUGGAUCAGCAGGGGGCUGAGCUGGGGUCUAACCAAGGAUGUGCCCAUACUGCAGAGCCGCAUCCGAGAUCUCUUCGAGGGAGAUUUUAGUUUGGUUAUGGUAGUGCAAGUCAUCCUGGUUCGUCGAGUCCAUCCUUGCAAACGCCGACCCCUCUGUAUGUGGGAAUUCAACCCGGAAGGACCGCGCACUAUCCAGAACUUCCUCGGCCUGAUGCACGAGGAGUUGUACAAAUCGUUCUUCGGACCCCAAGAAGAG